UUCUCCUACGGGACGCAGCAGUAGGGAAUAUUGCUCAAUGGGGGAAACCCUGAAGCAGCAACCCCGCGUGGAGAAUGAAGGUUUUAGGAUUGUAAACUCCUUUUGUUAGAGAAGAUUAUGACGGUAUCUAACGAAUAAGCACCGGCUAACUCCGUGCCAGCAGCCGCGUUAAUACGGAGGGUGCAAGCGUUACUCGGAAUCACUGGGCGUAACGCGUGCGUAGGCGGGGUAAUAAGUCCGAUGUGAAAUCCUGUAGCUUAACUACAGAACUGCAUUUGAAACUGUUACU
rnacentral:rRNA from 1 species